rnacentral:misc_RNA from 1 species
GAUGAAGAACGCAGCGAAAUGCGAUACGUAAUGUGAAUUGCAGAAUUCAGUGAAUCAUCGAAUCUUUGAACGCAUAUUGCGCUCUCUGGUAUUCCGGAGAGCAUGCUUGUUUGAGUAUCAGUAAACACCUCAACUUCCAUAUCUUUUUUGAAAUGGGAGUUGGACUUGAGUGAUCCCAACGCUUUUCCUCACCGAAAAGUGGCGGGUUACUUGAAAUGCAGGUGCAGCUGGACUUUUCUCUGAGCUAUAAGCAUAUCUAUUUAGUCUGCCUAAAAAACAGAUUAUUACCUUUGCUGCAGCUAACAUAAAGGAGAUUAGUUCUUGUGCUGACUGAUGCAGGAUUCACAAAGACGGCUUCGGCCGACUUUGUAAACUCGAUCUCAAAUCAAGCAAGACUACCCGCUGAACUUAAGCAUAUCAAUAAGCGGAGGA